rnacentral:rRNA from 1 species
UUGACCUCGGAUCAGGUAGGGAUACCCGCUGAACUUAAGCAUAUCAAUAAGCGGAGGAAAAGAAACCAACAGGGAUUGCCUCAGUAACGGCGAGUGAAGCGGCAAUAGCUCAAAUUUGAAAGCUGGCGUCUUCGACGUCCGCGUUGUAAUUUGUAGAGGAUGCUUCGGCGAGGACUCCUGCCUAAGUCCCCUGGAACGGGGCGUCACAGAGGGUGAGAAUCCCGUACGUGGCGGGCGGUCCGAGCCAUGUGAAGCUCCUUCGACGAGUCGAGUUGUUUGGGAAUGCAGCUCUAAAUGGGAGGUAAAUUUCUUCUAAAGCUAAAUACUGGCCAGAGACCGAUAGCGCACAAGUAGAGUGAUCGAAAGAUGAAAAGCACUUUGGAAAGAGAGUUAAAAAGUACGUGAAAUUGUUGAAAGGGAAGCGCUUGCAACCAGACUCGCUCGCAGUUGCUCAGCCGGCCUCUUGGCCGGUGCACUCUUCUGCGAUCGGGCCAGCAUCAGUUCGGGCGGCCGGAUAAAGGCGUCGGGAAUGUAGCACCCUUCGGGGUGUGUUAUAGCCCGGCGCGGAAUGCGGCCAGCCUGGACUGAGGAUCUCGCUUCGGCAAGGAUGCUGGCGUAAUGGUUGCAAGCGGCCCGUCU